rnacentral:rRNA from 1 species
UACGAAGGGGGCUAGCGUUGCUCGGAAUUACUGGCGUAAAGGGCGCGUAGGCGGAUAUCUAAGUUGGGGGUGAAAUCCCGGGGCUCAACCUCGGAAUUGCCUUCAAAACUGGAUAUCUUGAGUUCGGGAGAGGUGAGUGGAACUCCGAGUGUAGAGGUGAAAUUCGUAGAUAUUCGGAAGAACACCAGUGGCGAAGGCGACUCACUGGCCCGAUACUGACGCUGAGGCGCGAAAGCGUGGGGAGCAAACAGG